AGUGAACGCUGGCGGUAGGCCUAACACAUGCAAGUCGAACGGCAGCACAGUAAGAGCUUGCUCUUACGGGUGGCGAGUGGCGGACGGGUGAGGAAUACAUCGGAAUCUACUUUUUCGUGGGGGAUAACGUAGGGAAACUUACGCUAAUACCGCAUACGACCUACGGGUGAAAGCAGGGGAUCUUCGGACCUUGCGCGAUUGAAUGAGCCGAUGUCGGAUUUGCUAGUUGGCGGGGUAAAGGCCCACCAAGGCGACGAUCCGUAGCUGGUCUGAGAGGAUGAUCAGCCACACUGGAACUGAGACACGGUCCAGACUCCUACGGGAGGCAGCAGUGGGGAAUAUUGGACAAUGGGCGCAAGCCUGAUCCAGCCAUACCGCGUGGGUGAAGAAGGCCUUCGGGUUGUAAAGCCCUUUUGUUGGGAAAGAAAAGCAGCAGGUUAAUACCCCGCUGUUCGGACGGUACCCAAAGAAUAAGCACCGGCAAACUUCGG
rnacentral:rRNA from 1 species